GACGAACGCUGGCGGCGUGCUUAACACAUGCAAGUCGAACGCUGAAGCUUGGUGCUUGCACUGGGUGGAUGAGUGGCGAACGGGUGAGUAAUACGUGAGUAACCUGCCCUUGACUCUGGGAUAAGCCUGGGAAACUGGGUCUAAUACUGGAUAUGACAUGCCACUGCAUGGUGGUGUGUGGAAAGGGUUUUACUGGUUUUGGAUGGGCUCACGGCCUAUCAGCUUGUUGGUGGGGUAAUGGCCUACCAAGGCGACGACGGGUAGCCGGCCUGAGAGGGUGACCGGCCACACUGGGACUGAGACACGGCCCAGACUCCUACGGGAGGCAGCAGUGGGGAAUAUUGCACAAUGGGCGGAAGCCUGAUGCAGCGACGCCGCGUGAGGGAUGACGGCCUUCGGGUUGUAAACCUCUUUCAGCACGGAAGAAGCGAGAGUGACGGUACGUGCAGAGGAAGCGCCGGCUAACUACGUG
rnacentral:rRNA from 1 species